rnacentral:rRNA from 1 species
UGGUAAGGUAAAGGCCUACCAAGGCAACGAUCAGUAGCGGGUCUUAGAGGACGAUCCGCCACACUGGAACUGAGACACGGUCCAGACUCCUACGGGAGGCAGCAGUGGGGAAUCUUGGACAAUGGGCGCAAGCCUGAUCCAGCAAUGCCGCGUGCGUGAAGAAGGCCUUCGGGUUGUAAAGCGCUUUUGUCAGGGAGCAAAUCCUUGUGGCUAAUACCCACCGGGGAUGAGAGUACCUGAAGAAUAAGGACCGGCUAACUACGUGCCAGCAGCCGCGGUAAUACGUAGGGUCCAAGCGUUAAUCGGAAUUACUGGGCGUAAAGCGUGCGCAGGUGGUUUGUUAAGCACGAUGUGAAAUCCCCGAGCUCAACUUGGGAAUUGCAUUGUGAACUGGCUAACUAGAGUACGGCAGAGGGGGGUGGAAUUCCGCGUGUAGCAGUGAAAUGCGUAGAUAUGCGGAGGAACACCGAUGGCGAAGGCAACCCCCUGG